rnacentral:lncRNA from 1 species
UCGAUUUCAUCUUACCAAGCUGCAGAUUACGCAGAGAGGCCACCAUCUCGUUCAUAGAAGGUGACACAGGUGGAGAUUCCGGUGGAGAAAGAGAAGCAGCCGGAGACGACAUGAACGCCGAAGACUGCAGAACCUGUCUCAUCGGAGAACCGUCGUAUGAAUCCCCCGAGCUGCGAGGACUCUGCAUCGGAACGAGACGCAGCUGUUCCGGGGUGUGCGCAAAGAAGCACACGCGCCGGCGGCAACUG